rnacentral:tRNA from 1 species
AGGUCCGUCGUCCAGCGGUCUAGGAUCUCCGGCUGUCUACCGGAAGACGCGGGUUCGAAUCCCGUCGGAUCUGCCA